AACGAACGCUGGCGGUAUGCCUAACACAUGCAAGUCGAACGAGACCUUCGGGUCUAGUGGCGCACGGGUGCGUAACGCGUGGGAACCUGCCCUUAGGUUCGGAAUAACUCCCCGAAAGGGGUGCUAAUACCGGAUAAUGUCUUCGGACCAAAGAUUUAUCGCCUUUGGAUGGGCCCGCGUUGGAUUAGCUAGUUGGUAGGGUAAAAGCCUACCAAGGCGACGAUCCAUAGCUGGUCUGAGAGGAUGAUCAGCCACACUGGGACUGAGACACGGCCCAGACUCCUACGGGAAGCAGCAGUGGGGAAUAUUGGACAAUGGGCGAAAGCCUGAUCCAGCAAUGCCGCGUGAGUGAUGAAGGCCUUAGGGUUGUAAAGCUCUUUUACCCGGGAUGAUAAUGACAGUACCGGGAGAAUAAGCUCCGGCUAACUCCGUG
rnacentral:rRNA from 1 species